rnacentral:rRNA from 1 species
GACGAACGCUGGCGGCGUGCUUAAUACAUGCAAGUCAACUUGACUUUAGAUAGCAAUAUCGAAAGUAGGGUGGCGCACGGGUGCGUAACGCGUAGGUAAUCUGCCCUGAGGUUUGACAUAACCCGUCGAAAGGCGGCUAACAUCAGAUGAUAUAUAAUCACGACAUCGUGGAAAUAUCAAAUCUUCGGAGCCUUGGGAUGAGCCUGCGUCUGAUUAGGUAGUUGGCGGAGUAAUAGCCCACCAAGCCUACGAUCAGUAGCUGGUUUGAAAGGAUGAUCAGCCACACUGGAACUGAGACACGGUCCAGACUCCUACGGGAGGCAGCAGUAAGGAAUAUUGCUCAAUGGGGGAAACCCUGAAGCAGCAACGCCGCGUGAAGGAUGAAAUAACUUUGUAUGUAAACUUCUGUAAG